GAUUGCAAAUGCCUGUCAUCAUACAUACGUUCGAUAGGCAUCUUGCAAGUGCUGAAACGCCUUGGCAGUGUUAGGACCUGCUCCAGUCUGCUGGGCUCCGCAACGGAAUUGUUACCCCUACUCUGACAGCCAGACAGACUGAGCAGUCACUACCCAGAAGAGAAGCUGUGACAAAAUCCUGCCAAUCUAUCAUUACUGCAGCUUCAAAUCUGGCAAGAAGUACAAAUUAAGGAUUGGGACUAGUAUAGAGAUUGAAGUUGAUGAUUGAACAACCAGAAAUGUAAACACAGACUUUAAGGCAUUGAAGAUUUCCCCCUCCCCCAAACUGAUGGAAAAAACGAUAUUGUGUGGGAAUUGUGAGAAUUUCUUGUCAAUCACUGCAAUGGUCCUUAGACAGUUAACCAUCGUGCAAGAGUUUGAUAAGAAAGUCCUCGCAUCCAAUUUCAGUACAAUUUCACCAAAACAAGUUUAACUUGCAAACAGCUUUGUCCAAAACAAGCUUUCAAAACAUGGAUUUUAAAUCAUUAGCAAGUGAGUACACAACAAUAAAAAUUUCUUUGCAAAGUUAAAUGUUUUGCUU
rnacentral:lncRNA from 1 species